rnacentral:rRNA from 1 species
CCAAUAGCGUAUAUUAAAGUUGUUGCAGUUAAAAAGCUCGUAGUUGAAUUUCGAGACCGGUUUACUGGUCGUGCUUUUGUACGUACUGGUAUUAUUGGUUUCUCCUUUCUGACGAAUCAUAAUGCCAUUAAUUUGGUGUUUUGGGGAAUCAGGACUGUUACUUUGAAAAAAUUAGAGUGUUUAAAGCAGGCUCACGCUUGAAUACAUUAGCAUGGAAUAACGAAAUAGGACGUUUGAUUUUAUUUUGUUGGUUUCUAGGAUCGACGUAAUGAUUAAUAGGGAUAGUUGGGGGCAUUAGUAUUCAAUUGUCAGAGGUGAAAUUCUUGGAUUUAUUGAAGACUAACUACUGCGAAAGCAUUUGCCAAGGAUGUUUUCAUUAAUCAAGAACGAAAGUUAGGGGAUCGAAGACGAUCAGAUACCGCCGUAGUCUUAACCAUAAACUAUGCCGACUAGGGAUCGGAUGAUGUUAAUUUUUUAAUGACUCAUUCGGCGCCUUACG